GAUCAUGGCUCAGGACGAACGCUGGCGGCGUGCCUAAUACAUGCAAGUAGAACGCACAGUUUAUACCGUAGCUUGCUACACCAUAGACUGUGAGUUGCGAACGGGUGAGUAACGCGUAGGUAACCUGCCUGGUAGGCGGGGGAUAACUAUUGGAAACGAUAGCUAAUACCGCAUAAUAUUAAUUAUUGCAUGAUAAUUAAUUAGAAAGGUGCAAUUGCAUCACUACCAGAUGG
rnacentral:rRNA from 1 species